GACCCUUAGGAGCUUGUCAUGUGGUUAAAUCAAGAUUUCACUUGCAUGUUCACUCAUAUAUGCUACUUCUACUCCGGAAGUACCAUCCACAUAUAUCCACCCAUUCCAUCUCCAAAAUUACCCAAAAAUAUUCUACUCCUAAUCCGGGAGAGAAUAACCAAAAAUAUUUCUGUUUUCCCCUUAUGAAAUAAAUGCUCAAGUUAUCUUGUUACUACCACUUGCUAUAUUAUCUCAAGAGAUGAAUGCUCUGAAAAAAAA
rnacentral:lncRNA from 1 species